rnacentral:rRNA from 1 species
AACGAACGCUGGCGGCAGGCCUAAUACAUGCAAGUCGAGCGGGUGUAGCAAUACAUCAGCGGCGCACGGGUGCGUAACACGUGGGAAUAUGCCUCUUGGUGCGGAAUAACACAGGGAAACUUGUGCUAAUACCGCAUAAUGACUCCGGUCCAAAGAUUUAUCGCCAAGAGAUUAGCCCGCGUCUGAUUAGCUAGUUGGUGAGGUAACGGCUCACCAAGGCAACGAUCAGUAGCUGGUCUUAGAGGAUGAUCAGCCACACUGGGACUGAGACACGGCCCAGACUCCUACGGGAGGCAGCAGUGGGAAUAUUGGACAAUGGGCGAAAGCCUGAUCCAGCAAUGCCGCGUGAGUGAUGAAGGCCCUAGGGUUGUAAAGCUCUUUUACCAGGGAUGAUGAUGACAGUACCUGGAGAAUAAGCUCCGGCUAACUCUGUGCCAGCAGCCGCGGUAAU